rnacentral:rRNA from 1 species
UACGUAGGGGGCAAGCGUUGUCGGGAUUUAUUGGGCGUAAAGAGCGUGUAGGCGGCCAUACAGGUCAGCUGUGAAAACUCGAGGCUCAACCUCGAGACGUCGGUUGAAACCGUAUGGCUAGAGUCCGGAAGAGGAGAGUGGAAUUCCCGGUGUAGCGGUGAAAUGCGCAGAUAUCGGGAAGAACACCCGUGGCGAAGGCGGCUCUCUGGGACGGUACUGACGCUGAGACGCGAAAGCGUGGGGAGCGAACAGG